CCCCUGUGCCUGACCACGGCCUCCCAAGCCUGUGUCCCUAGGGCCCACCAGCUGCCGCGCAGGCGGCUGGCGCCCCGACUCUGCUUCAGGAGCAGAGUGCUCGUGUGAUGUUCCUUCGCGUCCUGCGUGCUUCUUACUUUGUUCUUCCCUUUUCUUCCAGUGACGUAAAGUCUUCCAGACUUCGGCGAAAGAAGGCUGCUCCCACCAGAGCUCCUGGCAGGGCUCACCCUCUGCUCUUUCUGCUGCUGUUACCGUGGGUUCGUCAAUGUUCUAGCCAACAAAGCGAAAGUCGUUUUACUGUCUCUGAUACAGGAUAAUGUCCACCAACUUUGGAGUAAUUACUAUCUUUUAGGAGAAGGUGUAGGAUUUGGGGCCGGAUGAGACUUAAAGAGAUCUGUGACAUUUUUCUUAGUGUGAAGUUAGCGCGGAGACGUGCUUGCUGACGGCUAACACUCAGUGUGGUCCACUAUGACCUCCUGCUCUUCAGAUAAUAAACCAACAGUGCGUUCCUACGCCUCCCUCCUCUCCGACACCCGCUCUGCACCCAGACCCUCAGAAAAGGCUGAGUGAGGCCCGGCAGGGGCUUCCGGGGUCAAAGGAGAACUUUAAUUAAACGUCCUUACACGGGGAAUCUUCGAUUUUCUAGGAAUCUUUCAAAUGCAGCAAAGCACCGCAGCUCACGCGUGGAGCAUGGCGGGGUCCAUGAGGCCGUCCCAGCGCCUGGAGGCCUCGCGCCCGGAGCCCUGCUCACUUCACUGGCCGCAUCUACGCAAGCUGAGCGCCGCAGAUACCGCCGGCUUGUUCCUGGACUCGGUUUUACAGCUGUGCCGGCCCUUGCGCCCUGGUCUUCGGGACUGUCACCCCAGACCAGGCUUGGGCCACGCGGCUCCCGGCCGUGGGAGAGCAGGACGAGGUGUCUCAGUGUCUCAGUCAGAUCCACGUGGCUUUCCGUGGCCCAGAGCCUUCCCAGGGGCACAGCCUUGGGCAGUGGACUGCAUGCCAAGAUGCCAUCCCCAAUAAGGUCAAAGUCCAGAGGAACCCAGAUCGGAGGACCGGGCGGGGCAGGAGCGGCGAGAAGGCGGCCCCCCUGGGACGGCCCUCCGCCGCGGAGGCGAGCUGCGCGUGGUCCCCGCACCUGGGCCACCCGCCGGUCCGGCAGACACAGCCCUGCGGUAUCUGCUAGGUCAUGUACAAUAUGCAAAUGUGCGGGGUGAAAGAGCACUUUAAGACCUCAGGCAUGAAAUUUAAAAUUGAAUCCUGUCAAAUCA